rnacentral:misc_RNA from 1 species
GAGGGACGAUUAUUUUGUUACAUUAGAUUAAAUAGAACAAGUGCGAAUGUACAUAAAGUUAUUUUACACAGUGUCUCACACAGAGAUGGAAUCUGAAAACCAGAAAGCAUGAAGGAAGCUCAUCCUUCAAUCUCACUCAAACGUACACAUUUAAAAAAAAAAAAAACUUUACAAAUACAAUUAGGCUAAUUGAAUCUUAAAUGCUAAUCACACCCAAGCAAGAAUACGAGUCAACUGUAAAAAAAAAAAAUGAAACGUAAUAUCCUUCCUAUAGUAACCAACAACAAUUCAAUGCUUGGGGAGAGCUACAAUGACUGUUACCCUAUGCGAAAACAUAAAGUGUGACUAUGGUGUGGGUGAUUGAUGAGUAGAGAAGAUCCUAUAGUAUUUAAAUCAAAAUGUAGAACAUGCAAAAUCGUUUCAUUGAACUAGAGGAUACCCCUUCGCCAUUGUUUUCCAAGGACUGAGCUUACUUUCAACAGUGACGUGAAUAAGUUAUGAAGCAGACAAGCUGAUUCCAAGUGAUGUGUGUGUUUCCAUUUCUUUGUCUACCUCUUACUUGUGCUUUAGCUCAUUUGCUCACCAAUUAGAUCAAGACCCACAACAAGGAAGGUUACCCCUUGGAAGAGAAGGAAGUAGAAGUGGACUCCUUGGGCAGACAAGAGGCUCCUGGCAGCAGCCGCGAGUAGGAGGAAUGCCAGAGCUAGCUCUUUCCUGUAUAUCUUGUUCACUUUCUUAAUAGGUUUGGGAGCUGCUUCUUUCUGUUCCUUCAAUCGGUUCAACUCUCCAAGCUCGCUCUCAGAAACUACUCUCUGUAUCUGUGGUUGGUUUUUUGCCAUCAUAUCCCUCUCAGCAGCAGCCAGUAAGUCAGAUUCUGAUGACCUACCAGCUUUCUUGGUGACAACCCACUCAUAAGUGCUACCCAACUGGCAUAAUCCAGAUACCAUAGCAUUGAAUUUGGUAACUGACAUUGUGUUUUCAAAGAGGAGGUAAGGGACAAUGAAAGGGAAGGAUUUGGGGGCUGGAAGAAUGUUGAGGAAUGACAUUAAAACAGGCACAUAGUAGAUAACCCACAUAGGGAGUUCAGCCUCAGGGACAAACAUGGUUAGAGGAAGAAUUAUGCAGAACAAUGUGAACGAAUAGAAGGGAAGGAUGAGUUUUCUCAAUAGGAAAAACAAUAGUAUUAAGUUCACUUUUUUCCAUAUCGCCAUCUUAGAAGUUAUAAUUGCUGGAAGACACAAGCGGAAAAGUUGCAUAGGGCCAGAGUGCCAGCGAUGUUGCUGCUUCCUGUAAGCUUCAAAUGACUCGGGAACUUCACAGAGAACCUUUACAUCAUUAAGGAAAAUGAACUUCCAACCAUUGAGAUGUGCACGAACAGCUAUGUCCAUGUCCUCUACAGUUGUCCUUUCAAGCCAUCCACCAGACUCCUCCAGGGCUUUAAUUCUCCAAACACCGGCAGUUCCAUUAAAGCCAAAGAAAUUUAGAAAUGCACCAUUAACUUGCUGUUCGACCUCAAAAUGAAAGCACAAAUUGAUGUCCUGGAGACGAGUCAACAAAUUUUCAUCCUUGUUCACAAAGGCCCAUCUUGCCUGAACCAACCCUAGCUCAGGAUUGUCCUUGAAAUGAGGCACAGUUAAAUUAAGGAAGUCUGGACUAGGUUGGAAAUCUGCAUCAAAUAUCGCAACGAACUCAUAAUCCUUCACAUAAUCACAGCUCAUUGCAGACUUGAGAUUUCCAGCUUUAUAACCAGUUCUAACCACACGAUGCCGAUAAAUUAUGUUGAUAUCCUUUUGGCUCCACUUAUCAACCUCUGCCUUGAUCAAAUAUUGGAUGCUCUCCUCAUUAGAAUCAUCAAGAACUUGAAUUAGUAAUCGAUCCUUUGGCCAAUCAAGUUGGCAGACUGCAGAGAUAGAUUGCUCAUAUACCUCCCUCUCGUUACACAUUGGGAUUUGAACAAGAACCUUAGGAUACUCAUAGCCUGGUGCCUCGGCAUCAUCUGACUUGAAAGGAUCCCCAUUGAUCCUCGGUUUAAUCUUCUUAUACUUAAUCCAAAAGCAACCUAAGGAAAGCAUCAUGCGGUCUGCAGAUUGAAUAAGGAAGAGAACAACACAGAAAUUUGAGAGAGCUUGAAUUGGAGGUGCUAUGUAAUAGGCCCGAAAUGUUAACCAGGCAACAUAAACCAUGUGAAGCAAGCCUUGCAAAUCCGGAGUCCUUGGAAUAAGUAGAUUAGCAUUCUCAAAAUAAUGCCAACCUUUCAUAUAAGCAACCACUUCAAAAGCCAAGAUUGCCAGACAAGUCACUAGAAAGACUCUAAUGAUUCUAAGUACCAAUUUCCCUUUGCCUAGCUUCUCACUAGCCACCGUAACUCCUUGUCUAAAGAUCAACCUCUUCUUGAUGGCUCCAAGCAAUGCCCAGAAGAAAGUGGCUAGCCAAGCAACACAACCGACAACUCGGUGAGCCUUGAGAAGCAAGACCCAGGUGACCUGCUUGGCAUUCUUGCCUCUGCUCUUUUCAAUUGGCUGGAAUGCAGCAUCUGGACCGUUGAUUUCUACAACAGAGUAGUUGGGGUUCUCCAUUUUCACUACCACUGGAGUUCCCUUGUUUUUAUCCUUUGCCCACUAGUCCGAAAAAUCCAAUCUUGGAGCCAUCUUCUCUAUCUAUGCACAGAUACAACCCAAUAACCAAAAACCUAAAAAACACUCCACUAUAUUCAACAAGUCCUCAAAACCCAGAUCCCAACACCAAGAAAUGAGACAUACCCAUUUCAGGACCAAAUAAAAUGAACUAGAUCCCUCAAAUGAAGAACUCAAACAACUGACUUUGAGGUACUCAUGCUAAAGACAAACAAUGUAGCAAGGAGAAGCAAAUGAAGAGGAGUGAGAGAUAUUCCCUGUCCUCCCAAAUAAACUCACUACAACAGAUCCAACAUGGAAGGCAAAUAUUAUGAGGAAAGGUAUCUGCAGCUGUAAGACCCUAACACCAUGUGUAUUUGUCCAGUAAUACAAACAAAACACAGCCAUUCCCUUUAACUUGCCAAAAUUUACCAAAUGGUGGAAAUCUUAGCUGAUAUGGAAUCUUGCUAAAUAAUUAAAAAUAAGUACACUAAGGACAAGGCAUAAAUUACACACUAACAAGAACUAAAUCAUCCCAAGAGGAGACAUCAGUUGACCAGCAAGUGAAAACUAGAUAGAAAGUCUCUCUUUCACUCUCAGGUGUUGACCAAAUUCUGAAGCUAAACUUGCUUUAUUAUCUACAAUAAAUAUAUUAGUAAUAAACUAAAACUACUAGUAAUCCAAUCCUAAUUGUUUACUGGCAUUCAUUAUUUUGCAUUAAGAAAGUAUUAAUUCAAUGAUUUGUUUUCCUGAAGACCCAAUUCUUGCAAGAAUUCAAACCAUUAUUGACCCUAACCAACCAUAACAACUAAACAAUAACCAUAAAAAUUUCACUCUAAACAUGUCGGUUAUGGUGUGAAAAAUGUGAGAAGAAU